rnacentral:rRNA from 1 species
GGGAUUGCCCUAGUAACGGCGAGUGAAGCGGCAACAGCUCAAAUUUGAAAUCUGGCGCAAGCCCGAGUUGUAAUUUGUAGAGGAUGCUUCUAGGUAGCGACCGGUCUAAGUUCCUUGGAACAGGACGUCAUAGAGGGUGAGAAUCCCGUAUGUGACUGGCCCGCACCUUCUACGUAGCUCCUUCGACGAGUCGAGUUGUUUGGGAAUGCAGCUCUAAAUGGGAGGUAAAUUUCUUCUAAAGCUAAAUACCGGCCAGAGACCGAUAGCGCACAAGUAGAGUGAUCGAAAGAUGAAAAGCACUUUGGAAAGAGAGUUAAAAAGCACGUGAAAUUGUUGAAAGGGAAGCGCUCACAACCAGACUUCUAGGCAGUGUUCCGCCGGUCUUUUGACCGGUCUACUCUCUGUCUCGAGGCCAACAUCAUCUGGGACCGCUGGAUAAGACCUUAGGAAUGUAGCUCCCCUCGGGGAGUGUUAUAGCCUCUGGUGAUGCAGCGAGUCUCGGGUGAGGUCCGCGCUUCGGCAAGGAUGUUGGCGUAAUGGUUGUCAGCGGCCCGUCUUGAAACACGGACCAAGGAGUCUAACAUCUAUGCGAGUGUUCGGGUGUCAAACCCCUACGCGUAAUGAAAGUGAACGGAGGUGGGAAGCGUAAGCUGCACCAUCGACCGAUCCUGAUGUCCUCGGAUGGAUUUGAGUAAGAGCAUAGCUGUUGGGACCCGAAAGAUGGUGAACUAUGCCUGAAUAGGGUGAAGCCAGAGGAAACUCUGGUGGAGGCUCGCAGCGGUUCUGACGUGCAAAUCGAUCGUCAAAUUUGGGUAUAGGGGCGAAAGACUAAUC